GCUCACUUCAGCAGCACAUAUACUAAAAUUGGAACAAUACAGAGAAGAUUAUAAUGGCCCCUGCCAUAGAAUGACACGCAAAUUUAUGAAGUGUUCCAUAUUUUU
ensembl:snRNA U6 U6 spliceosomal RNA